GCUUUUUGGACUUCAAAGUUCGUCCAACACAUGUCAUCACAGUCACUCUCAUAAACACAUGAUGUCCCUCUCGGAACUCUACUGCCCUCUUCUUUUGAUCGUAAUAACUCUUUUGUCGAUCUUGGGAUGCCUUCAUUUUCUACUGAAUCCUUUUCACCUUUUCAGUAGUCUGCCUAAUCAUUUCAGGCCCCAACACUACUCGCUCACUGGAUUCGUUCCAACACAAAUGUGUCCUACACCUUCUCCCAUACAAGGCUUCAAACAGUUCCAUUCCGAUGCUAGAAUG
rnacentral:lncRNA from 1 species